AGAAAUACAAUUCUCUUGUACUAGACUCUGCGACUAACAUUGAUGUAGCUGUGGUGGAGCAUUCCCUGACUGGAGAGAGCACUGUGUCUCAAAUAUGGCCGUAGGAGGUUCAUGGCAGUGCAAACAUUUCGAUCAAGAAACAACUGCAUGACCAAGUGAUGUUGACAGUGCGACUGCAAGAGGAAAAAAGCAUUUUGGUGUUGGAGAUGGAUGGCACAACACUGCACAUGGUUGCAGAGCCUGCAGUGGUUCUGAAGAACAAGAUAGCUGAGGAGCAUGUAGACAAGGGAAAUGAGGGACUUUGCUGUCUCUUAAGAAGACGACUGUCAGAGGUGUCAGAAAGGUUGCAAGUGCUCCUCCAACAGUACAAGACUGCUUUAGGCCCCGAGGCCUCUGCCCUUCUACAUGUUGAAGCAGAAGAUCAAGGUGGCCUCAGUAGUCCAGACACCAGUGAGGAUGAAGAAGAAAACACAAUUUAGAUGGAAGCUGCACAAAGGACUGUGUUGAAGGAAAUGGCCUUGCCCAGUAUCUGUGUGUUUUUAGUAUGUUGAUUGAUUUACCACAUCAACAUCUGGAUGCAUUCUAUAUUGUUGAAAAUUAAACCUGUGUCUGUAGAUUGCCAAGCAAUUGAGUAAGCACAUGAAUGCUCCUUGAAGAUGCACAAACCUCUUAGUAUAGGUGCACCAAUCUCAGCCAAAAAUGUUAACUUUGCACAUAUCAUAUUACCAGAUGUAAUAUCUUGACAUGAUAUUUGGGUAGUGUAUUCAUACUCCUUUAAGAGAGACUCCCCUUGAUUGGGGUGACCCUGUGACCUUUCCUUUUGUGUAAAACUCAAGGCUAAACUUUUGACUUGUAUACAACAAAUGUUAGGAAAAGAUUUCUAAGUCAUUUGCUGAGCAUUCUCAAGCUUCCCAGGCAUUGAAUCCUGUCGGUUUUGUUGACCUCAUAACAUUCCCUGUAGCACAACCCUCAGACCAAAAUGUAGAGUUUGAUAUUUCUUA